GACGAACGCUGGCGGCGUGCUUAACACAUGCAAGUCGAACGGUGAAGGGACCGGUUUUUGCUGGUUCUGGAUGAGUGGCGAACGGGUGAGUAACACGUGAGUAACCUGCCCCCUUCUUCUGGAUAACCGCAUGAAAGUGUGGCUAAUACGGGAUAUUCUGCGCCUGCUGCAUGGUGGGUGUGGGAAAGAUAUUGUUUCGGUGGGGGAUGGGCUCGCGGCCUAUCAGCUUGUUGGUGGGGUGAUGGCCUACCAAGGCGGUGACGGGUAGCCGGCCUGAGAGGGUGGACGGUCACACUGGGACUGAGACACGGCCAAGACUCCUACGGGAGGCAGCAGUGGGGAAUAUUGCACAAUGGGAGCAAGCCUGAUGCAGCGACGCCGCGUGAGGGAUGGAAGCCUUCGGGUUGUAAACCUCUUUCGCCAGUGAAGCAGGCCUGUCCCUUUUGUGGGUGGGUUGACGGUAGCUGGAUAAGAAGCGCCGGCUAACUACGUG
rnacentral:rRNA from 1 species